CUGCAGCCCGAGUGGUGAUCGAUUUUAUUGAGCCUAAAGCGUCCGUAGCCGGUUUAGUAAAUCUUCGGGUAAAUCGAGCAGCUUAACUGUUCGAAUUCCGGAGAGACUGCUAGACUUGGGACCGGGAGAGGUCAGAGGUACUCCUGGGGUAGAGGUGAAAUUCUGUAAUCCUGGGGGGACCACCAGUGGCGAAGGCGUCUAGCUAGAACGGGUCUGACGGUGAGGAACGAAGCCCUGGGGCGCAAACCGGAUUAGAUACCCGCGUAGUCC
rnacentral:rRNA from 1 species